CCUACCACAGCAUGGCGUGCCAAGCGGUGCCAUGUCCGCACCUGGGAUCCGAACCGGCGAACCCCGGGCCACCAAAGCAGAAUGUGCGCACUUAAUCCCUACGCCACCGGGGCGGCCCCAGUUUGAAUUUAAUUUUAAAUGGAGUGGGCAGUAAACAAAGGGCUUUAAACUGAGGCUGAAGCGCUCUGACUUCCUGUCAGCCAGGUGGAGAAGGAGUUGUACUGAAGGACUUUUGGAAAACAACUUCCAUUCACAGAUAUCUUGUGUCCCACCUGAGCACGUUCUUUGAAUUGCCUGAACUUAUCUCUACAAGAGAACUCAGACCCAAGGACCCAGAAAUAAAUGAAGUCAGACCAGGGAAGAAAGAGAUGCAGUAAAACAAGAAAGAAUUUGAGUCAAUCAGGACAGGAGCGUGGACGGCCACACUUUCACCGCUGCAGCAUGCUGGCUUUUGGCUUUGGGGUAAACCAGAAGAAAGGACCGUCACCUCCUCAGCAGGGGUAGCUCCCCCGGAAAGCUAGAAUCGAGAAGGCUGCAAAGCCGCUGCCAGCUUUGAUGCUGUUCUUUCUCCAGAGAUGGGAGCCUUCUGGACUCACGUCCUCAGUAAAAGAGGAAGAAAUAGGGAGAUGAGGACCAAGGCUGAGCCUGCAGCCUUUGAUGGGCCAGAAGAGGAUUGAAAGCCAGACGAGGAAACCUCUGUCUCCAGCCUCCACCUGGCUCCGAUGGCUGGGACCAGGCAGCCACUUCACUGCAUUAAUCCACCCCAUGAAACUGGAGCUCGUGUGUGCUGGUUAUGAAGCUACUCUGCCCUCCAUCCCCUCCGCCUUCCUCAAACACACAGGCACGCAAACACACAAAGGCCUCGGCUAGAGAGGGAAAGGCUAAGGGGGAGAAGGGGCGGGGGAAAGGAUUAGAGUUUUAUCAAAAUAGCAUCUGCAGAGAGCCUUCCAGGAUAGGCACCAUUUCCGAGCACGUCUGUGGCCUGGGGCCAGGCCUGGGGCAGAUGGGAAAACACCAGCUGGCCAGGGAAGGAGUGGUCCCUCGAGGGUGGAGGCUCCACCAGGUGCACGGGGGUGGGAGGGACUCUCUUCCUCCCUUCCCAGGGCCUCCUGCCCCACCAACUCUUUCUGAACUUUUUUUUUUUGCCUUUUUGGCCAGACUGUUCCUUUUCAAGCAUCAGAUAGCAAGAACUCCUUUAGCCAGGAUAUUAAUAUUGCUGGGACUCUGGAAUUUCACAUGGGGUUCACCUGUGUCUGGGAGCGGCUGAAGGCCCUCCUGGCGCAGCAAGCCUGUAGGUCUGGGGCCAGAACCGUGUGCUUUGGGGAGCUGUACUCCUUGGAAGGUGUCUUAUCCCGUCCUCUGCCUUCACCCCGGGCUUGCUCUAAAUCAAUGCAGAUAAGACAAUAAGAAGAGAAUAUUUUAUUCCUCAAGCUCACAAGUGUUCCUGGCUCUCAACACUGGCAGCAAAGUUCUGUCUAGAGUUCACCCACAUCUUCUGGCUGCACUGAGAUCCUCUCCCCCACUCCUUUUAUCGGUCCUUGUUCUCACAGAUGUUUUUCUGUUUCCUUCCUGCUUCUCAAGUCUCCUUAUCAGGAAAGGGGAGAAAAAUCAGAGUGGCUCACUUAGCCGCCUAUCUUGAGGCGUAGAAGGACUUUCCUAAACAUGGGAAGACAUCAAGGGAAGAAAUCCACAAGGAAGACAUUAAUGGAUGUGAUUCUGUAAACACUGAAGACUUGCGUGUCUCAAAAUACCAUAAAAACACAUACACAGGAAAUAUUUGAUUAGCCCUGAGCUGACUACUGCCAAUCCUCCUCUUUUUGCUGAGGAAGACUAGCCCUGAGCUAACAUCUGUGCCCAUCUUCCUCUACUUUAUAUGUGGGAUGCCUACCACAGCAUGGCUUUUGCCAAGCAGUGCCAUGUCCGCACCUGGGAUCCGAACUGGUGAACCCUGGGCCACCGAGAAGCGGAAACUGCCAACUUAACAGCUGCGCCACCCGGCCAGCCCCCAAAGUGCUUUUUAACUUUUGGAUUUAACAUCAACUCUGACAUGAAAAGUGUAUAGUUGUUACCAUAUAUAAAUAAAAAUGCUUG
ensembl:lncRNA